rnacentral:lncRNA from 1 species
AGCGCGGAGAACUCGCGCGCGGAGCUGCGCUCAGUCGGCGGUGCUCGUGUUCCGGCGCUCCGCUCUCCUCGUCCUUCUCUCGCAGCUCCGCGGCGUCCCCGUCCAGCGCUCACGUCACUUUGAGUGGCGGCAGCGAGAACUUUCCCGUGUGAAUCCGCGUGUAUCCGGGGGAAAACUUUUUUCCGCUUUGUUGACGCGCGGUCCGGGCUCGUGACGUGUGUGUGUGAGGGCGCGGGCGCGGGCGCGAGGGAGCUGGGCGGCGGCGGACGGGGACACGAUCAUGAAGGCGCUGUGCUGGACCCUGGGGCUCCUCACUCCCUGGAUGGCGGCGCAGGUGCGAUGCCUGGACGAGCAGAAAGGCAGAUCUGUCGAACAACUGGAUACGUACCCAAGUGCCUCUGUGUUAAGGACCACGGAGAUGUCAAAGGAAUUGAAGGAACCCCUCCUUACACCAUCAAAUAAGCCCCCCGCUCUGGAAACAGCUUCGUUAAAAUCCAAAUCUCCCGGCUACGACCUUCGGAAUCCAUCAAACCGGGUGAAAAACCAGUCGAUCGUCCACUACCCAACAGGCUACCCCUCGAAGAGAAAGCUUGCCCUGAAGCCAGCUCUGAAGACCAAGAAAACUUUGGCUGGGGUGAAUUCUACGUGAAUAUUAAGACCGUGAAGUUCAGUCUGCUGGUUACAGGCAAAAUUGUGGACCACGUCAACGGCACCUUCAGCGUCUACUUCCGACACAAUUCGUCCAGCCUGGGCAACGUGUCUGUGAGCAUUGUGCCCCCUUCCAAACUGGUGGAGUUUGAGGUCUUCCAGCCAGGGUAUCACCCUCAGAGGCGGCAGCAGUCCACCACCGACCCCAAGCAGGCCAAAACCUUUAAUUGUCGGGUGGAAUACAAAACCACUGUCCAGUCUCAAAAGACCAAGCCUUGCCUGUAUGACCCUUCCCAGACUUGCUUUGCAGAACACACACAGUCCAACGCUGCCUGGCUCUGUGCCAAGCCCUUCAAGGUCAUCUGCAUCCACAUCUCCUUCUUCAGCAUUGACUAUAGGCUGGUGCAAAAGGUUUGCCCAGACUAUAACUUCCAGAAUGAUCUCCCUUACUUUGGCUGAGAGAGGCCUUCCUCCUCUGUCCGAAUUUGUUCUUCGAAGCGUAUUUUGACCCCGGUUUCAAAAUAUCUGUAGAAAUUUUAUGUUUCGGGUUCAUGGCUGUGUUUACUUGCUAAAUAGUUAGAAUGCACACACGCUGUCUGAAACCGCUCUGGCAACACGGGGUAUAAGGCCAGAGGGGGAGGGGACACACCAAGGACGGGACGCCAGUCCAUUGCAAGGCACCACAAGCAGGACUCGAGCCCUAGACCCGCCAGAGAGCGGGCACAGGCCAAACCCGCUGCGCCCCCCCGCACCAUCCGAUAGCUAGAAUGGAUUUUCUUAAAACUAAAAUGUCUAUGUGUCAAACUUACCUUCAAUAUUUGUUGCUCGGAGCUGUACGAAAACAGACGCCGUCUUCUGAAUUGUUGCCGCAAUCACGAUGGAAUUGCGAUGAAGCAAAAAAGACAAACAUCGGCCUGAUUUUAUUUGGCUCACUUUGUGUACAUAUGGAGCAAGGCAGGCAUCCGCAGGGUUUUAUUUGAGUGGUCUCAUGAGUCCGUUUG